rnacentral:rRNA from 1 species
UACGUAGGGGGCAAGCGUUGUCCGGAUUUAUUGGGCGUAAAGAGCGUGUAGGCGGCCGUACAGGUCAGCUGUGAAAACUCGAGGCUCAACCUCGAGACGUCGGUUGAAACCGUACGGCUAGAGUCCGGAAGAGGAGAGUGGAAUUCCCGGUGUAGCGGUGAAAUGCGCAGAUAUCGGGAAGAACACCCGUGGCGAAGGCGGCUCUCUGGGACGGUACUGACGCUGAGACGCGAAAAGCGUGGGGAGCGAACAGG